AUGAUUAUAAUAAAAAAUUCGAAUUAUUACGUAUGUCUUGUACCUAAAGACGCUGUGUUGUGGCUGUGUAUCUGGUACAGGGUUAAUAAACCGUAUUAUAACUUAAGUCUUGUACCUAAAGACGCUGUGUUGUGGCUGUGUAUCUGGGACAGGGUUAAUAAACCAUAUAGCUUAAGUCUUGUACCUAAAGACGCUGUGUUGUGGCUGUGUAUCUGGUACAGGGUUAAUAAACCGUAUUAUAACUUAAGUCUUGUACCUAAAGACGCUGUGUUGUGGCUGUGUAUCUGGGACAGGGUUAAUAAACCAUAUUAUAACUUUAGUCUUGUACCUAAAGACAGUGGGUUGUGGCUGUGUGUCUGGGACAGGGUUAAUAAACCGUAUUAUAACUUAAGUCUUGUACCUAAAGACGCUGUGUUGUGGCUGUGUGUCUGGGACAGGGUUAAUAAACCGUAUUAUAACUUAAGUCUUGUACCUAAAGACGCUGUGUUGUGGCUGUGUAUCUGGGACAGGGUUAAUAAACCGUAUUAUAACUUAAGUCUUGUACCUAAAGACGCUGUGUUGUGGCUGUGUAUCUGGUACAGGGUUAAUAAACCGUAUUAUAACUUAAGUCUUGUACCUAAAGACGCUGUGUUGUGGCUGUGUAUCUGGGACAGGGUUAAUAAACCGUAUUAUAACUUAAGUCUUGUACCUAAAGACGCUGUGUUGUGGCUGUGUGUCUGGGACAGGGUUAAUAAACCGUAUUAUAACUUAAGUCUUGUACCUAAAGACGCUGUGUUGUGGCUGUGUAUCUGGGACAGGGUUAAUAAACCAUAUUAUAACUUAAGUCUUGUACCUAAAGACAGUGGGUUGUGGCUGUGUGUCUGGGACAGGGUUAAUAAACCGUAUUAUAACUUAAGUCUUGUACCUAAAGACGCUGUGUUGUGGCUGUGUAUCUGGGACAGGGUUAAUAAACCGUAUUAUAACUUAAGUCUUGUACCUAAAGACAGUGGGUUGUGGCUGUGUGUCUGGGACAGGGUUAAUAAACCGUAUUAUAACUUAAGUCUUGUACCUAAAGACGCUGUGUUGUGGCUGUGUAUCUGGGACAGGGUUAAUAAACCGUAUUAUAACUUAAGUCUUGUACCUAAAGACGCUGUGUUGUGGCUGUGUAUCUGGGACAGGGGUGAGAGUGACGUAGGGCUCAUGUAA
rnacentral:lncRNA from 1 species